rnacentral:rRNA from 1 species
GACGAACGCUGGCGGCGUGCCUAAUACAUGCCAGUCGAGCGGACUUUCAAGAAGCUUGCUUUUUGAAAGUUAGCGGCUGACGGGUGAGUAACACGUGGGCCACCUUCCUCCAAGACGUGGAUAACUCCGUGAAACCGGUGCUAAUACCGGAUCAUAUCUUCUUUCGCAUGAAGCAAGGUUGAAAGGCGGCGCACGCUGCCGCUUGCAGCUGUGCCCGCGGCGCUUUAGCUAGUUGGUGAGGCAACGGCACACCAAGGCCCCGAUGCGUACGCGAGCUGAGAAGGUGAUCGGCCACAAUGGGAAUGAGACACGGCCCAGACUCCUAAGGGAGGGAGCAGGAGGGAAUCAUUCGAAAUGGAGGGAAGGCUGGAGGAACAAAGCCGGGUGAGGGGAGGAGGGCUUCGGAUCGGAAAGGUCCGUUGUCAGGGAAGGAAAAGCAGCGUUCGAACAGGGCGGUACCUUGACGGUACCUGAAGAGAAAGCAACGGCUAACUACGUG